CUGUUCAAUUCACACAUUUAUAGAGUCUGUAAAUCUUUUUUUUUUUUCAUUUUUUAAAAAAUGCCUUAAGCCAGUGAGAAUAAGUGAAUAGCUUCUUGUGAAAAAUUUAUUUUAAUUUAAAAACUUAUUUUUAGGUAGAAAUCUUUUACAUUUUAAAUUAAUAAACUUACGUUACAGAAUAAUCUUUCAGGUUUAAAUAUAAAUGUCCAGCACUAGUAACUUGCAAAAUUAAAUUAGUUUGUGCAAGUCAUUUUUCUUACUAUGCAUCUUAUUGAUAUGGAAAAUUGCCCCUUUUCAUUAUGAAAAUUCCUGUGUGGGACUAUAUCUCAGCUCCUAUAAAGUUGUAUCAGCAUAUGUGAAUUCAACAAAAUAAGUUAAUGCAGUUCUUCACUAUGGAAAGCAAGUCUGCAGAAAAAUAUUAUGGGAGAUGACAGCUGAGCUUAACCUAUCUCAUAGGCUUUUGUCACUGUACAUCCUUGAAGGUCUUUUCAAAAUUUUGUGCCAUGUAGUGGAUCAUUAUUAAAGGUGAACUGACUUUUAUAGCCUGUUUCUGAAAGGUCAUUCCAGGUUAGGCACAAGAUCUUGGCUCUUACUUUUCAUCAGUUUUUCACAUAAUGUUGCUCCAUAUUCUCUUUAGUCCUGCUUUCUUACCACACCUCCCCACCACUGGCUUCUCCUCUUUACCAUUUUCACUUUUCUGUCAUUGGCAAAAUAAGAUGAUGGGAACAGCACUCACCUGUGACACUUCACAACUUUGUUCCAGAAGUAGACAGAAGUGGAAAGAAAAAAUAAAAUCACACUCCUGUUGGGCACAACAACAAAGAAUCUCCGUUUUCUGUAGAUUGAAUAAUUUGUAACAGACCAAUGCUGCAGAUGAGACAACCAGACAUCAGAUGGGUGUGGAAGCCACAGGAAAGAAAGGGAAGACCUUUCUUCUAGAACUGAGCUCUCUGGAACAACUACCUCCCCAACACCCACCCGCAAGAGUUUGCCUGUUUGAGCCACAUGCUAUGGACAGCUUUGGAUAAGGGUUGAUGGUAAAGGAAAGAGACAUGGCAGACCUUUUACCUGUCAUGUAGGGGUAAAUUUAAAAAAACAAAAAACAAACAAACAAAAAAACAAAACAAAACAAAAAACUGGAAACUUGAGAGUCCUUAAUACACAGUCACUUUCCUCUGACUUUUUACAGACAUCUGAGAAAGGGGUUGUCUGUGGUAAUGGACUUUGGCUAUCAAGGGGAAAUGAGUCCUGGAGUACAUCCGUAGAUUAUUGUGUUCAGAGGUAAAUAAAAUUUAACUACAUAACAUUUUGGACUAUGUAAUGCCUCUUGAAUCUUAUGAGUUAUCACAGGAGGGAAAGUCUUCAGAUGAAACAGGAAGCUAUUCUAAUAAUGGGCAACAUUGAAUUGGAAAUCAUGUAUUCUAAAUGAAAAAAGAUCAUGACUUUAGUCUGGACCUGAAUCUGGAUUCCAAACAUAUCUGUUAUGUGGAUCAUUAACUCGCACUUAAACUUUUGUUUAAAUAUCUGCU
rnacentral:lncRNA from 1 species